UCUGAUGAACCAUCUUGGACGCUUGGGGAUUUACGUACAACAUUAAGCCAAACUAAAGUAACUGGAAAUUUGGGACACGCUUUUUUUAACAUGAUAUAAGGACAGCCAAACUUUCUAAUAACGCAUCUAAAGAUUUAUAUUCGGCCCGUAUGCAAAUAAUUGCGUUGACUCUUGGAGAAGUUAUUUAAUUCUCGAAGUUUUACGUAUGUUUAAAAGAAAUUUUUAAAUUUACCACCUAAGAUCUCCGAUCAAAAUCCGCAAGAACUAUAGGAACAAUUGAACAACAAUUCUAACACUAGAACAGAAGCUGAAAGUAAUGCUGAUACGUUUUAUACUCCUGUUCAAAAUUUCGGAAGUAAUAGUAAUAUAUUAAUAUAUACAAGUAAAGACCUUUCUGUCAAAAGUAAUAAGAGCUACGUUUCGCUUGAAUUCAAAGAGUACAAAUAGGAUUUGAUAUAGCUGGUGAAAUAAUUUGUUUUAAUACUACCGUUAUUAAAGUGAAAAGAAACCGUGAUGAAAUAAAAUUUGAGGACGGCGAAGUUAUUCAUGAUUUGUUUAAAGCACACCAAAUGAAACGAAGUUACCAUUUUUAAAAACCCGAAAGAGGCGCUCUUAGAUCAGACAUGGAGCCAGCUGUGAAGGAAGAACUUGCCAUCCUUGAGCCGGUUAGAAAGAAUGGGAAACAGCUAAGAUUUGUUUUAGAGGUUCCUACAAGUGCAUGGAGCCUAUUACCCUGAGUCCACCUGCUCUGUAUAUUUAAAAGACUGCCCGACUUAAUUUUAGCUCAUCAAUAUGAACUGGCGCAGUUGCAAAUGCAUAUGCGAAUGCUAAUCUCGGUUUUAAAGUGUUAGUUAAAGUUUUAAUUGAGUAUCACUUUAAUAGGUAUACUUGGAUAAUCUACCUGCUGAUAUGUCGCUGUUGGGCAACAUAGAGAAAGGUUGUCAAGCCCUGUAGCCUUACGCAUUCAUUAUUCUAAAAAUAUUCUUCAGAAAGGAAAGCCUUUUAAUACUAUUAAGUAGUUUCAAGUCCCCAUAGUUAAAAUAAGGAUCCGGGGGGGAAGGACCAAAAUUUAGUUGCCUUUCAAUAACUAGUUUCUAAAAAAUGGUUCGAACCGGUAGGCAGGACAGGAAAGACC